CGGACGGUGAGUAACGCGUGGAAAACCUGCCGUAUACUGGGGGAUAACACUUAGAAAUAGGUGCUAAUACCGCAUAAGCGCACAGCUUCGCAUGAAGCGGUGUGAAAAACUCUGGUGGUAUACGAUGGUUCCGCGUCUGAUUAGCUAGUUGGUGGGGUAAUGGCCUACCAAGGCAACGAUCAGUAGCCGGCCUGAGAGGGUGAACGGCCCACAUUGGGACUGAGACACGGCCCAAACUCCUACGGAAGGCAGCAG
rnacentral:rRNA from 1 species